rnacentral:rRNA from 1 species
UACCGCGGUUAUACGAGAGGCUCAAGUUGAUAAAAAACGGCGUAAAGCGUGGUUAAGAAAACAUAAAAGAUGGGGUCGAACAACCUCAAGGCUGUCAUACGCAUUCGAGGCCACGAAGCACACUCAACGAAAGUAGCCCCACCAACCCUCUGACCCCACGAAGGCCAUAUGAA